rnacentral:rRNA from 1 species
UACGGAGGGUGCAAGCAUUAAUCGGAAUUAUUGGGCGUAAAGGGCGCGUAGGCGGAUAUGUAAGUCAGAUGUGAAAUUCCGAGACUCAAUUUCGGAGCUGCAUUUGAAACUACAAAUCUCGAGGAUUGGCGGAGAGAACGGAAUUCCACGUGUAGCGGUGAAAUGCGUAGAUAUGUGGAAGAACACCGGUGGCGAAAGCGGUUCUCUAGCUUAUACCUGACGCUGAGGCGCGAGAGCAAGGGGAUCAAACAGG